rnacentral:rRNA from 1 species
UACGGAGGGAGCUAGCGUUGUUCGGAAUUACUGGGCGUAAAGCGCACGUAGGCGGCUUUGUAAGUUAGAGGUGAAAGCCCGGGGCUCAACCCCGGAAUUGCCUUUAAGACUGCAUCGCUUGAAUCCGGGAGAGGUGAGUGGAAUUCCGAGUGUAGAGGUGAAAUUCGUAGAUAUUCGGAAGAACACCAGUGGCGAGGGCGGCUCACUGGACCGGUAUUGACGCUGAGGUGCGAAAGCGUGGGGAGCAAACAGG